GAAUGGCUGGCACUAGGCGGUGAUACUCCGGUUAGUAAAUUUGCCUAACUAAUGACAAACUAGUUCUCGUUCAUUCAACACUAUCAUGUCAUAUUUACCGUUAGAAUCUUCUUUCAAACAUGUAGGGGACCGGUGGCUCGACUCCUGCUCCGUCGACCCCAGUCACUUCGAUCUGGCAGAGUGAUGGUGGUCGCGGUGGCGGUUUUGGCGGAGGAGGACUUGGCGGUGGCGGUUUUGGCGGAGGUGGACUUGGUGGUGGUUUUGGCGGAGGUGGACUCGAUGGUGGUGGUGGUUUUGGAGGAGGUGGACUCGGUGGUGGGGGUGGUUUUGGAGGAGGUGGACUCGGUGGUGCUUGAUGUCGAUGAUGAUUCAGUGUAUGCGGCCGUUGUGCCAUGUCUUUCAUGUUUCAACUUUUAUGAUGUUUCAUGUCUUGCACUACUCUUAUGUUCGUGGACUUUCGCCGGUGAUGAUCUUUAGAUGAUGAACUUGACUAUGUUUAAAUGAUGUUGAUGAACUGUCAUAUUUCAUAUUAUUCUGUUUUGAAAUGUUGUCAAAUGAAUUGGAAAAGAGAAAAGAGGGAAUAUAUAAAAAAAAUAUGCCUACGGCAAAG
rnacentral:lncRNA from 1 species